UACGUAGGGGGCAAGCGUUAUCCGGAUUUACUGGGUGUAAAGGGAGCGUAGACGGCGAAUAAAGUCUGAAGUGAAAUCCCGCAGCUCAACUGCGGAGUUGCUUUGGAAACUUAUAAGCUGGAGUGUCGGAGGGGUAAGCGGAAUUCCCAGUGUAGCGGUGAAAUGCGUAGAUAUUGGGAGGAACACCGGCGGCGAAGGCGGCUUACUGGACGACAACUGACGUUGAGGCUCGAAGGCGUGGGUAGCAAACAGG
rnacentral:rRNA from 1 species